GCAAACUUGGUCAUUUAGAGGAAGUAAAAGUCGUAACAAGGUUUCCGUAGGUGAACCUGCGGAAGGAUCAUUACUGAGUCUUUGAACUGGGUUUGAUGCUGGCCUUCCGAGGCAUGUGCUCGCCCUGCUCUCAUCCACUCACCCCUUUGUGCACCUUACGUCGAAGAUGCGUCUGGCAGCUGGGGAGACCUGGCCAAUGGUUGCUUCUUUGCGUUACUUCACACAAACCCUUGAAUGUAUUAGAAUGUCUAUUGGCCUACGGGCUUUAAUUAAAUUAAAGUACAACUUUCAACAACGGAUCUCUUGGCUCUCGCAUCGAUGAAGAACGCAGC
rnacentral:misc_RNA from 1 species